UUGGUUAAGUUAGAAAGGGCGCACGGUGGAUGCCUUGGCACUAGGAGCCGAAGAAGGACGGGACUAACACCGAUAUGCUUUGGGGAGCUGUACGUAAGCGUUGAUCCAGAGAUUUCCGAAUGGGGGAACCCACUAUCUUUAGUCGGAUAGUAUCCUUACGUGAAUACAUAGCGUGAGGAAGGCAGACCCAGGGAACUGAAACAUCUAAGUACCUGGAGGAAGAGAAAGAAAAAUCGAUUUCCUGAGUAGCGGCGAGCGAAACGGAAAGAGCCCAAACCAAGAAGCUUGCUUCUUGGGGUUGUAGGACACUCUAUACGGAGUUACAAAAGAAAGUUAUAAAUGAAGCGGUCUGGAAAGGCCCGCCAAAGACGGUAACAGCCCGGUAGUUGAAAUAGCUUUCCCUCCAGAGUGGAUCCUGAGUACGGCGGAACACGUGAAAUUCCGUCGGAAUCCGGGAGGACCAUCUCCCAAGGCUAAAUACUCCCUAGUGACCGAUAGUGAACCAGUACCGUGAGGGAAAGGUGAAAAGCACCCCGGAAGGGGAGUGAAACAGUUCCUGAAACCGUGUGCCUACAAGUAGUUAGAGCCCGUUAAUGGGUGAUAGCGUGCCUUUUGUAGAAUGAACCGGCGAGUUACGAUUUGUUGCAAGGUUAAGCGGAAAAAGCGGAGCCGUAGCGAAAGCGAGUCUGAAUAGGGCGAAUAAGUAACAGGUCGUAGACCCGAAACCAGGUGAUCUACCCAUGUCCAGGAUGAAGGUAAGGUAAUACUUACUGGAGGUCCGAACCCACGCACGUUGAAAAGUGCGGGGAUGAGGUGUGGGUAGCGGAGAAAUUCCAAUCGAACUUGGAGAUAGCUGGUUCUCUCCGAAAUAGCUUUAGGGCUAGCCUCGAGGUAAAGAGUCAUGGAGGUAGAGCACUGUUUGGACUAGGGGCCCUUCUCGGGUUACCGAAUUCAGAUAAACUCCGAAUGCCAUGUACUUAUACUCGGGAGUCAGACUGCGAGUGAUAAGAUCCGUAGUCGAAAGGGAAACAGCCCAGACCACCAGUUAAGGUCCCCAAAUAUAUGUUAAGUGGAAAAGGAUGUGGGGUUGCUUAGACAACCAGGAUGUUGGCUUAGAAGCAGCCACCAUUGAAAGAGUGCGUAAUAGCUCACUGGUCGAGUGACCCCGCGCCGAAAAUGUACCGGGGCUAAACAUAUUACCGAAACUGUGGAUGAACCUCUUUAGAGGUUCGUGGUAGGAGAGCGUUCUAAGGGCGGUGAAGUCAGACCGGAAGGACUGGUGGAGCGCUUAGAAGUGAGAAUGCCGGUAUGAGUAGCGAAAGAAGGGUGAGAAUCCCUUCCACCGAAUAUCUAAGGUUUCCUGAGGAAGGCUCGUCCGCUCAGGGUUAGUCGGGACCUAAGCCGAGGCCGAUAGGCGUAGGCGAUGGACAACAGGUAGAGAUUCCUGUACCAGUGCUAAUUGUUUAACCGAUGGGGUGACACAGAAGGAUAGGGAAUCGCACGAAUGGAAAUGUGCGUCCAAGCAGUGAGUGUGAGAAGUAGGCAAAUCCGCUUCUCGCGAAGCAUGAGCUGUGAUGGGGAAGGAAAUUAAGUACGGAAGUUCCUGAUUUCACGCUGUCAAGAAAAGCCUCUAGGAAGAGUAGUACUGCCCGUACCGCAAACCGACACAGGUAGAUGAGGAGAGAAUCCUAAGGUGAGCGAGAGAACUCUCGUUAAGGAACUCGGCAAAAUGACCCCGUAACUUCGGGAGAAGGGGUGCUCUAUUAGGGUGCAAGCCCGAGAGAGCCGCAGUGAAUAGGCCCAGGCGACUGUUUAGCAAAAACACAGGUCUCUGCAAAACCGUAAGGUGACGUAUAGGGGCUGACGCCUGCCCGGUGCUGGAAGGUUAAGAGGAGUGCUUAGCUUCGGCGAAGGUACGAAUUGAAGCCCCAGUAAACGGCGGCCGUAACUAUAACGGUCCUAAGGUAGCGAAAUUCCUUGUCGGGUAAGUUCCGACCCGCACGAAAGGCGCAACGAUCUGGGCACUGUCUCAACGAGAGACUCGGUGAAAUUAUAGUACCUGUGAAGAUGCAGGUUACCCGCGACAGGACGGAAAGACCCCGUGGAGCUUUACUGCAACCUGAUAUGGAAUGUUUGUACCGCUUGUACAGGAUAGGUAGGAGCCGAAGAGACGUGUGCGCUAGCAUACGAGGAGGCAAUGGUGGGAUACUACCCUGGCUGUAUGACCAUUCUAACCCGCCACGCUUAGCGCGUGGGGAGACAGUGUCAGGUGGGCAGUUUGACUGGGGCGGUCGCCUCCUAAAGAGUAACGGAGGCGCCCAAAGGUUCCCUCAGAAUGGAUGGAAAUCAUUCGCAGAGUGUAAAGGCACAAGGGAGCUUGACUGCGAGACUGACAAGUCGAGCAGGGACGAAAGUCGGGCUUAGUGAUCCGGUGGUUCCG
rnacentral:rRNA from 1 species